rnacentral:rRNA from 1 species
CAAUAGCGUAUAUUAAAGUUGUUGCAGUUAAGAAGCUCGUAGUUGGAUUUCUGGUUGAAGCGACCGGUCGGGCGUUGAUUCGUCUGCACUGGAGUCGGUUUUGGCCAUCCUCUAGGAAAGUGCGUCUGGUAUUAAGUUAUCGGGCGUAUGAUCCUGGUCUUUUACUGUGAAAAAAUUAGAGUGUUUAAAGCAGGCCUUCGCCUUGAAUACAUUAGCAUGGAAUAAUAAGAUAGGACUUUGGUCUAUUUUGUUGGUUUGCAGACCGAAGUAAUGAUUAAUAGGGAUAGUUGGGGGUAUUUAUAUUCCGAUGUCAGAGGUGAAAUUCUUAGAUUUUCGGAAGAUAAACUUAUGCGAAAGCAUUUACCAAGGAUGUUUUCAUUAA